UAUUCGGAACGUGCCCAAGAGUGGGGGAUAACGUAGCGAAAGUUACGCUAAUACCGCAUACGAUCCAAGGAUGAAAGCAGGGGACCGCAAGGCCUUGUGCUCCUGGAGCGGCCGAUAUCUGAUUAGCUAGUUGGUGAGGUAAAGGCUCACCAAGGCGACGAUCAGUAGCUGGUCUGAGAGGACGACCAGCCACACUGGAACUGAGACACGGUCCAGACUCCUACGGGAGGCAGCAGUGGGGAAUUUUGGACAAUGGGGGCAACCCUGAUCCAGCAAUGCCGCGUGAGUGAAGAAGGCCUUCGGGUUGUAAAGCUCUUUUGUCAGGGAAGAAAAGGGUACGGCUAAUAUCCGUGCCUCAUGACGGUACCUGAAGAAUAAGCACCGGCUAACUACGUGCCAGCAGCCGCGGUAAUACGUAGGGUGCAAGCGUUAAUCGGAAUUACUGGGCGUAAAGCGUGCGCAGGCGGUUUUGUAAGUCUGUCGUGAAAUCCCCGGGCUUAACCUGGGAAUGGCGAUGGAGACUGCAAGGCUAGAGUUUGGCAGAGGGGGGUAGAAUUCCACGUGUAGCAGUGAAAUGCGUAGAGAUGUGGAGGAACACCGAUGGCGAAGGCAGCCCCCUGGGUCAAGACUGACGCUCAUGCACGAAAGCGUGGGGAGCAAACAGGAUUAGAUACCCUGGUAGUCCACGCCCUAAACGAUGUCUACUAGUUGUUGGGUCUUAAUUGACUUAGUAACGCAGCUAACGCGUGAAGUAGACCGCCUGGGGAGUACGGUCGCAAGAUUAAACUCAAAGGAAUUGACGGGGACCCGCACAAGCGGGUGGAUGAU
rnacentral:rRNA from 1 species